GAAAAGAACUUUGAAGAGAGAGUUCAAGAGUACGUGAAACCGUUCAGGGGUAAACCUGAGAAACCCAAAAGAUCGAAUGGGGAGAUUCAUCGACGACGAAGCUGGCUCCCGUUGGCGUGCGAUUCCCCCGUUGGGACCUCGGUUCCAGAACGCGGGGUACACCCCUUCGGCGAAUAACCGGCGACGUAGUCGUGCACUUCUCCCUUAGUAGAACGUCGCGACCCGUUGUGUGUCGGUCUACGGCCUGGGCUACUUGCCUGUCGCGGUGGCAUUCGUUCGCUCGCGGCAGAGGCUCGGUCGCCCGGCCGGCUGCACGACGGUACUCCGACGGUAUCGGGCCGCAACCAGUCCAUUCUCGAAUGGUAUAUGCGUCCAGGCCCGUCGCAAGCUCGGACAGCACCCGGAGCGUGUGGACGCAGCGCCCUCCCCGGGUCUGGCCAGCUGUUAGCAGACGGUGUCCUCGGACCGGCCAAGCUUCGAAUUACCGGUCAGCGACGCUAUUGCUUUGGGUACUCUCAGGACCCGUCUUGAAACACGGACCAAGGAGUCUAACAUGUGCGCGAGUCAUUGGGACAUUGAAACCUAAAGGCGAAAUGAAAGUGAAAGUCGUCGUAAGCGUCGACCAAGGGAGGAUGGGCCGCGUCACGUCGCGGCCUCGCACUCCCGGGGCGUCUCGUUCUCGUUGAGAAGAGGCGCACCCAGA
rnacentral:rRNA from 1 species